UACGAGAGGCCCAAACGUUAUUCGGAAUUACUGGGCUUAAAGAGCUCGUAGGCGGCUCGGUAAGUCGGAUGUGAAACCUCCAGGCUCAACCUGGAGACGCCAUCUGAUACUGCCGUGGCUUGAGUCCGGUAGAGGAGCAGGGAAUUCCUGGUGUAGCGGUGAAAUGCGCAGAUAUCAGGAGGAACACCAGCGGCGAAGGCGCUGCUCUGGGCCGGUACUGACGCUGAGGAGCGAAAGCGUGGGGAGCGAACAGG
rnacentral:rRNA from 1 species